AGAUCAGUAAAUGAAUGGCGGGGAAGAAAGGCAUGGAAACUAAGUGGUGAAGUAUGUCCCCUUUAUCGAAUGGAAGCAGGACCUGAAGUCCAUUUCCUUGGAUACAGACAGAGGGCAGCAGAAACAGAAGAGUCGCGGAUUUCUGUCGUGUCUGCAUUUCCCAACAAAUUUUUGUUUCCAUGGGAAUGAGGAAAUAAGGCUACUUCCUAACAGUACCUUCCAGACCCUGACUUUCUGCUUCGUUAUGUGACUUGCUUUGGUUGACAGAGUUGUAGCAACGUGGAUGCAAGCAGGGGAUUCAGAAAAUCCUCACGUUUCCACCUCAUCUCUUGCUCCAUCAUCGUCAUGAAAACUCAUGUAGUAGACCCAACAAUGACCCAUCAUGAUAGCUGAGGCCAUCAUCAAUUAGAUGAAAACCAGGUGACCCCCCACACAUGUGAGGGAGCCCAGAUGAGCCCGUCUCUGAUCAGAAGAACUGCCAGAUUGCCUGUAGCCUUCUGAGAAACAAUUGUUUGAAGUAUGUGGUAUGACUUGUUACAAAGUAAUAGCUAACCUGAUACAAAUAAUAAUUUAUUCAGUA